AUUUUUAAUUCAAAUUUGAUAUUCAAAAUUUAUAAAUUUAAAAUUGUUAAAAUUUAACUUUAAUCUACUGUAAUUAAAAUUUUUAAUUGUUAAUUCAAAUUUGAUAGCCAAAAUUAAAUUCAAUUUAUGUUAAAUUUUAAUUUUAAUAUAAAACCUAUGGAUAGGAAUGCUAUUUUUUAACAGAUUGAUCAUAACCGCUCGUUUUUAUUUAAAAUAUUUUUUAACAAAUUAAUCAUAACCAUUUAUAAAAUAACCAUUUAUAAAAUUUGAUAUGUUGAUAGAUAAGAAUGUUAUUUUUUAAUAGAUUGAUCACAAUCAUUUAUUUUUAUUUAAGAUAUUUUUUAACAACUUAAUUAUAACUGUUGGUAAAGAAUAUUUUUUUAUUUUUUUAAUUACGUCUGUCAUAAUGUCAUUAUAGUAUAGAUAUAAAUAAGUAUGAAGUGUGAAGAAAAUUAUUGUUAAAUAAGUUAUUAGAUAAGAUGGAAUAUAGAUAUUAUGUAGGCAAUAGUUAUUAGGAGAUAGAGUGCGUGUAUAAAAGGUAAAAUUUGAUACACACUGCGUGAGAGUAAUUUAGAUAAAAAAAUUGACAAAUACAUAAUUCGUCAGUCAUUGAAUUAGAUUCAACGACUAAAAAUUAAUAAAUUUUAUGAUAAUUUGAAAAUAAAAUAAAAAUUAUAUUUUAUAAAUAGUAUAGAUAUAUAGUAAAGAGUUACUAUGUUAUCGGAAGUAUAAAAGAUUUAAUGUUUUCGAUUUUUUAACCCUUAGAUCAAGAAUUGUACAGUUGGGAUAAUUGCGGUCUCCGCUAAGAUUGAGUAGUACCCAUAGUUAGUUAAUUCGGAUUCGGCAAAAAUUCGGUACGGGUAUAAUUCGGAUAAAAUUCGUCUUCUAAUUUUUAAAUUCGUUGAAAAAAAAGGCUAAAAAACGGAUUCGCCAAUUAUUCGGAUACGUGAUUUAUACGGAUAUUAUACGUUCACCAAUUAAAAAUUCGGGAUCAAAAAUUCGGCUAUUAAAUUAAAUUUUUUUCCUCUCAAGAUUUAUGCUAUUAGCAUAAAUACUCAUAUUUUUAAAAAAUAUAAGAAUAAAAAGCUACAAAAUUAAACUAAUUAAGUAAAAAAAUAAUAAUAAACUAUAUUAUGCCUCAAAAUAAAGAAAUAAUUAAGCAAAUAAGAUAUCAAGAU
rnacentral:lncRNA from 1 species